CUCGCAUGCCUCAAUGAAAAAAGACCAGCGAAAAAAGACCUACGAAAGAAAAAACAACGACAAAAAAUCAGGCGACUCGCACGCACGAGCGAGGCCUAUCCCGUCGCCACCGCCCGACGCCGCCAGCCCCGGCCUCCUCCCUGGCUCCCAGCGCCGCCCGCCCCCCAUCUCCUCCUGCGAUCCUGGCGUCGCCCCGCCCCACCUUCUCCCUCACUUCCGGCGCUACCUAUCGAUCCCCUCGACGACACAGAGCCGCCGUCCUCUCGUGCGAUCUCGCAGCCGCAUCCGCCAACGCCGAUCCGGGCAGACGCGGCCGUCGUGGAUCACGAGGAUCCGGAUGAUGGGGGCGUGGAGAUGGCCAUGGAUCUGUUACAACGACGACGGCGCCGGAUCCGCACCCGCAACAUCCGGAUGGAGGCCGGCGACGAACCCUAGCCUAGCCGUCAGCAUCGGGAUCCAACCCCUUCUCUCGGUGUUGGGGCAAGGCGUAUGGGGGUGCUUGUUGCGGCGGUGGACCUCGACCCGGCGACAUCUGCAGCAUCUCCCUCCCGUCGGGCUGCAGGACCUGUACGCCCAAGGGAUGUGAUGUAUGCACCUCAUGGUACACAUAGGGUUUUGAUUUGCUUUCCUUGACUGCAGAAGAUGUUAUUAUGAUGAGCCAGGUCAUGGUCUGCUACUGCGUGCAUGACAACAUGAGGUGUCGCAAUCGGUGCGGUAUGCUGGUGAUAGAUGUUCUCGAUUGUGAUGCCCAAGCCUGUCUGCCGCAAUUGUGUGUUCGUUACUGCUGAGGUUAGAAAAAGCAUACAUCAAUUUUUCUCCUGCAAUUGUACGGUCGUUUCUGCUUUAGUUUAGAAAAACAUAAAACUGAGUUAUUUUUGCCUUUGGCAGACAGUCAUCCUACUUCGUAGUAAUCUGUGCCUUUCGUAUUUGCAUACUAAUCACGAGCCUUUUCUUCAUAAUGCUAAAUUUUGAAUUGCUUUGGCUCUAUAAUUUGUUUGAACUGAUCAUUUAAGAAUUUCAGAUAAGCGCAUCCAGAUCUUUUGACCCUUCCACGAAAAGGUGUAACAUGGUAAAUUUGUCGCAACAAGCAGCAUGGCAUUCUUGAUAGCUUUUCUCCCUAUUAUGACUUGCAUCUUUCUACCUUGCCCCAAAUUAAAUUUGAUUGGGACUGUUUGAUUGAAUGUCAAAUAAAGAUCAACUUUAUCUCUGAUCGAUUCAUGGAAAUGGAAACUGAAUAAUAUUCUGAUUAUUACUUGCAUGCUAUAUUCACUGUUUUUGGUUUAACAACUUGCAAGUGUUUCUUUUAAUCCGCAGAAAAAGGACUCACGGGUGGACAUCUGCUAUAAAUUACCUAGGCCUGGUCAUCUGCGUGAGUUGCAUCUGUCAUUUUUCUUCCCAGGUAGAACAUUAGUUUUGAUUAAAAACAAGGUAGAACAUUAGUGUUCUCCACAGUUUGAUGGGAACACUUUGACUUUCUGUAACCCCUAGAUUUGGUAUUUCCUGAUGAUUGCUUGCGGUUCUUCUUACUUUCUGGUAUAAAUAGAGAAAAAUGAGGAUAUUGUAGUUAUUUUAGAAUGUUCAAGAUUUAGGUGUCCAUACUGUGCUAACUAUGGUCUGAAUUGUUUUGCGGAAUCAUGAUGUCAUGUCGUGAUUACACAAUUCCAAGCUGUGGUUCAGAAGCACACUUCGCUAAAAUACACAUAAUGGUUUUUUUGGGUUUUCUUCUCACAAUAUAUGUACGUAAAUCAUGUAAUUUGCAACCUUGGUAAGUGCACCUCGAGCUGGUUGAAACAUGCCUGUUCCAAUCAUGAACGGACAUGAAGGCAGCCGGUGGGAUUUACUAUUGCGUCUCGACCUACUCGGAGCAGGAGAGGCCAGGCUGUGGCAGCCGCGGUCGUGGCGUCGUGCAUGUGGCAUCGACGCAGGUGAGAAUACAUCCAUGGCAGUCUCGUGGGCCGAGCGUCAAGGUGAUGGUAGCCGACCCUCCACGCCCCCUCUAGGGAUGGGAAGUGGCGGGCAGAGUACCUCCCCCGCGCAUGUCAGAGUUGCAAACACUUUCAAUUUCAACUGUGUGGUGAUCAGGACAUUCUGUGUUGCUUGGACAACCGAGCUAAGACGGCGAUGCCACCACCUACUUGUAUCUGUACAGGACCUCCGGUGAUUAUUUCUUUCUGCUGAGCACCUUCAAUUCCCCUUUCCCCAGCUCGAAGGAAUUGGCGCCUCCGUUAGUGACCCCGAGUAGUGAUGCAAUGAUGUAUUGUUUGAUCUUCUCCAAAGAUUUUCAAAUAGUUAUACUUUGAUUCAGAGCUCGUUGUGUUUUACUGUAUAUGCAGUUUGUUCUUAUGAAUUUCUCCGAGUAGGUAGAUCCUUUAGGGUUACUAACUUACUGUGAACAAAUGUUUUGUCUUGUUCAUGUAGUUUUCAAAAAUGAAGAAGCUUGUCGUUCAACCGAUGACAAAACACCUAGAGUACGUGCAAAAAUUACUACUUCCUCAUUUACAGCAAACUCAUUGAUACGACAAAGGCAAAAUUUUGGGUGGCAAGGUAUAUGAUUAGAUCAUGUGUAAUCUUCUAGAUGCAUUUUUCUAUUCUUCCAUUGUGUUCUUUAGACAUGCCUCUUUUUGUUAUUUUACAUCAGUUAACUGAAGUUCAUAUUAUUCCUUUAUCUGAUUGUAGCUUCAAAGUUUGAUUACAGCAGAGUCAUUGAUACAACAUACACAGUUUGUGAAUUUACCUACUACUACGAGUUACGUCAUAUAGCAAUGUUUUCUUGCCUAGAAAAAUAUUACAUGAAAGGCCUAAUGUCUUGUGAAUGUGUAUAGUAGCUACGAGUAGGUGGUCAAACUGUACACCUUUAAAGCAUGAAUAAGGUGCUAACUUAUGUGCUGCAGUUGCUUUGCAUUGUUCAGAUGCAAUGUGUUUUCGCUCAGCGGGAGCACUUCUUCUGAUUAUUUAUAAUUUUUAGUUUGCUUCUUAUAAUUUUAAGACAAUUUUUGCGACUUGGAAUGUAUAGCAUCCCCCUUUUCUCACUGGAAAUGACAUGUAAGAACAAACCAGUUCCAGUUCUGGCAUAGUUCUGAUGGUUGAAGUGUAUGUCUAUAUGAUUUAGUAUAUGCAUGGGAGUACCCGCUAAACGAUGAAGCAUAUUGUGUCGUGUUAGCUCCAUCUAGCUUUAUUAUCUUGAAUUUUGUAUCUAGCUUUUGUAUGUUGUAUUCCCUUUCACCGCGUCUACAUACUUGAUGAAGCUUUUUUCUGAUUGCAAAGUAUGUGCAAGUCAGUAGUGAACACUCUAUAUCGUUGUUCCAGAAAAGCAAGAUUCAGCAAUUUCCGCAACAUUUCAUGUCCGUUCCAUGUAGUAGUUUUUGCGCAAUUAUAUUGAUUUCCUUUUACCUUCAUAUUUGCUUAGUUUUCUUAUAGCAAACACAAAAAGCUUUGUGUCUUGAAGCAUUGAUAGAAGCGAACAUAAUUCAUGAUACAAGCCUAAUACUCUGAAAAUAUUUUUACGGUUCACUAUUCCUACGAGGGGAGUGAGUGGAGACAGCCAUGAGUGGCUCAACAUGUCGAGCAGCGGCCGCCUAUGAGGGGAGUGAGUGGAGACGCGCAAAUAUGUGUGGUGGAGGGGCAACGGAAGCUUGAACGGAAGAUUCGUCGCCAACAUCGAAGAAAUCUAUGGCCUGAUCGACCCUAAAGCUCCUGCAUGGACGCGAAGGUGACCGGGGGCAGAUUGCCGACAUUUGCCACACUAUGGGCAAUCUAUGUGAUGAUCUGCUCUCCGCAAUCGGAAUGAGCGGCAAGAUCUCUUCGGGAAUGGCUGAUGAGGAAGAAUUGACUGCGGGGGAAUGGUGGAUCUAGGUGGAGUUCGCUUUAGCCAGUGAGGGACGAGCUUUAGUUGUGUAGGGGAAGGGAAGCCACAUGCAUGAGUCAGACAUAAUAAAUCGGCUCGAAAAUGACUCUGUUAGUCCAGAAUCUCGUCUUGGCCGACCCAUAUGGUGGUCUGACAUUCGAUCCGGUGUGAAAGUGCCUCACAUAGUCAUGUUUCAUGGACUUCAGAUGUGGGCCAUAUUCACUGUUCAAAAGAAGCAUACAUAGAUUAUUAGUGGCCUAUGUGUGUUGGGCUGUAAAUCCCGGGGCAACUUGAUGGGAGGGAUAACGAGCACACAUGUGCUCCAACACAUAAUAGAGUGCAUAUAACAUGGCUUUCUCACGACUUUAUGCCACUAAUAAGAAGUCCUUUCAUUUUA